AUCCAGAUAACGAGUCCCAAAUAGGACGAAAUGCACAUCCUGAAU
rnacentral:hammerhead_ribozyme from 1 species